rnacentral:rRNA from 1 species
GAUGAACGCUGGCGGCGUGCUUAACACAUGCAAGUCGAACGGGAAACCUUUUAUUGAAGCUUCGGCAGAUUUAGCUGGUUUCUAGUGGCGGACGGGUGAGUAACGCGUGGGUAACCUGCCUUAUACAGGGGGAUAACAGUCAGAAAUGGCUGCUAAUACCGCAUAAGCGCACAGAGCUGCAUGGCUCAGUGUGAAAAACUCCGGUGGUAUAAGAUGGACCCGCGUUGGAUUAGCUGGUUGGUGGGGUAACGGCCCACCAAGGCGACGAUCCAUAGCCGGCCUGAGAGGGUGAACGGCCACAUUGGGACUGAGGCACGGCCCAGACUCCUACGGGAGGCAGCAGUGGGGAAUAUUGCACAAUGGGGGAAACCCUGAUGCAGCGACGCCGCGUGAAGGAAGAAGUAUCUCGGUAUGUAAACUUCUAUCAGCAGGGAAGAUAAUGACGGUACCUGACUAAGAAGCCCCGGCUAACUACGUG